AGAGAUCAUGGCUCAGAAUCAACGCUGGCGGCGUGCCUCAGACAUGCAAGUCGAACGAUUAAACUUUCCUUCGGGAAAGAUAUAAAGUGGCGCACGGGUGAGUAACACGUAAGUAAUCUGCCUUUGAGUGGGGAAUAACCCGGGGAAACCCGAGCUAAUACCGCAUAAUGCAGCGGCACCGCAAGGUGACAGUUGUUAAAGGAGCAAUCCGCUUAAAGAGGAGCUUGCGGCAGAUUAGCUAGUUGGUAAGGUAAUGGCUUACCAAGGCUACGAUCUGUAACCGGUCUAAGAGGACGGUCGGUCACACUGACACUGAAUAACGGGUCAGACUCCUACGGGAGGCAGCAGUCGGGAAUUUUGGGCAAUGGGCGAAAGCCUGACCCAGCAACGCCGCGUGAAGGAUGAAGUAUUUCGGUAUGUAAACUUCGAAAGAAUGGGAAGAAUCAAUGACGGUACCAUUUAUAAGGUCCGGCUAACUACGUGCCAGCAGCCGCGGUAAUACGUAGGGACCAAGCGUUGUUCGGAUUUACUGGGCGUAAAGGGCGCGUAGGCGGCAAUUCAAGUCAUCUGUGAAAUCUCCGGGCUUAACUCGGAACGGUCAGAUGAUACUGCUUUGCUAGAGUGCAGAAGGGGCAAUCGGAAUUCUUGGUGUAGCGGUGAAAUGCGUAGAUAUCAAGAGGAACACCUGAGGUGAAGACGGGUUGCUGGGCUGACACUGACGCUGAUGCUCUAAAGCAGGGGAGCAAACGGGAUUAGAUACCCCGGUAGUCCUGGCCCUAAACGAUGAAUACUUGGUGUCUGGAAUUAUUAUUGUUCCG
rnacentral:rRNA from 1 species